GCUUGGAUUCACAACCCUGAGGUUAACAUAACUUGAUGAUGAGACGUGCAAUCCAGAGAGGGCCCUCAACAGCUCCAAGCUUGGCGAGUAAACAGGUGCCGGUUCCCAAGGGCCAACUGGACUCACUGCUUUCUCACUGACCCUGGAAUUGAAGGGAGUCCGUGCUCAGCGAAGUGAUGGAACAAAGGGACAGAAGAAAACAUACUGCAAAUACAGCAGUCAGAAGCAAGCUGGUGUACGAAAAUGAACAUCAGACAAGGUGGACUUUGAGAUGAAGAAUUUGAUAGCAACAGGUGGAUUUAUGCACAGUAAUGAAGAGUCUACCAAAAAGAUGUGACGACUAUGAGCUUGUAUGUCCUUAUUGCCUAUUUAGGAAUCUUGCA